UACAAGCAACGUGAUCCACCCACAAGAAGUUACGUGAAAUUAGCUGUUCAAAAAAAAGAAGUUACGUGAAACCCUUUAUAAUAAAUAUUAUUUUGUUCCCACCAAAUAAUAAACAUUUAUAAUUCACAUAUGCUCCUUACUUAAUUCUCCAAACCUAUUCCUUUUAUCACAUCCCAACCGCCCAGACUUACCAUUCCCAUGUUCCUCGCUUCAUACUCUCUUCAUCCAAAACCAUCCACUAUGAAUAUUGAUAUUACAGUUUAUAGUGAUUGAUUACAAGUACAAUUUCAAAUAUGCAUGUGUUUGCAAUCAAACGAAAAUGAUGAAUUUCAAUUCGCGUAUAUGACGUGCAAAGAUAUACAUAGUCAUUAGAUACAAGGAACAUGUAUGUAUAUUGUUUGUGAUUGUAUAGCAGAGUGUAGAGAUAGAAAAACACGUGUGUGUUUAUUUGUGUUUUUUUUGAGAGAUGAAGGAAAAAGGUUUUUCUUGGGUCGGUGUUUUUGUUAUUGUUAUUAAAAUGUUUAUCAUUAUAGGAAAUAUUAAAUUUAGGUUUCGUUGUAUCUUCCUACUUAUUUUUUGUCAAAGAGUUUUGUGGUGGUUUUCAAGGUUUCUAUGGCGGUUUGACAAAGGAAAAGUUGCGACAGUUCCAGUAGUGAUUAAUAACGGUGGCAUGGUGUGCCGGUGGCUGGUGGGGAGGCUACAGUUCCCCUCGAUUGGGCACUACACCGCUCUAAAUGAGACUUGCACCUGCUGCCGGUAUUCUCAAUAGAUAACAUGUGUAGAUUGUCAAGGGAGAGGGGGUUGCCUCGCCGAUAUUGGUGUGAACUCACGCCAGCUAUUCUUCUCAGGUUGAAAUGACAGUGGCGAUGGGGGUAGUGUGACAGUGGUCACAGCUCUGCCAUCGCUCUGGUGCGUCACCUCUAUACGCCAUGCUCGGCUCCCCAUCCUAUCCAACGGUUAUUUGAGGUUGGGUUGAGUGGAACACACAUGUAUUUGUUUUAGAUCUUUAGCCAUAUUAUGGACAAUUAGUUUCAAAGUUUCAUGUUCUUACAAGGAAAAAAACAUAAUAUGGAAUUCAUUUUCAUACCA